rnacentral:rRNA from 1 species
CGUGUCGUGAGAUGUUGGGUUAAGUCCCGCAACGAGCGCAACCCUUGCCAUUAGUUGCCACACUUCGGGUGGGCACUUUAAUGGGACUGCCGGUGACAAACCGGAGGAAGGUGGGGAUGACGUCAAGUCCUCAUGGCCCUUAUGGGUAGGGCUUCACACGUAAUACAAUGGCGCAUACAGAGGGUUGCGAAGCGGCGACGUGGAGCCAAUCCCAGAAAGUGCGUCGUAGUCCGGAUUGUUCUCUGCGACUCGAGAGCAUGAAGUCGGAAUCGCUAGUAAUCGCGGAUCAGCAUGUCGCGGUGAAUACGUUCCCGGGUCUU